rnacentral:tRNA from 1 species
GCCUCGGUAGCUCAGUCGGUAGAGCGCGUGCGGUUUAAGCCCAUGGCCGCGGGUUCGAGCCCCGCCCGAGGCG